rnacentral:rRNA from 1 species
UGGGGAAUAUUGCACAAUGGGCGCAAGCCUGAUGCAGCCAUGCCGCGUGUAUGAAGAAGGCCUUCGGGUUGUAAAGUACUUUCAGCGGGGAGGAAGGGAGUAAAGUUAAUACCUUUGCUCAUUGACGUUACCCACAGAAGAAGCACCGGCUAACUCCGUGCCAGCAGCCGCGGUAAUACGGAGGGUGCAAGCGUUAAUCGGAAUUACUGGGCGUAAAGCGCACGCAGGCGGUUUGUUAAGUCAGAUGUGAAAUCCCCGGGCUCAACCUGGGAACUGCAUCUGAUACUGGCAAGCUUGAGUCUCGUAGAGGGGGGUAGAAUUCCAGGUGUAGCGGUGAAAUGCGUAGAGAUCUGGAGGAAUACCGGUGGCGAAGGCGGCCCCCUGGACGAAGACUGACGCUCAGGUGCGAAAGCGUGGGGAGCAAACAGG